rnacentral:rRNA from 1 species
CAAUAGCGUAUAUUAAAGUUGUUGCAGUUAAAAAGCUCGUAGUUGGAUUUCUGCUGAGGACGAUCGGUCCGCCCACUGGGUGAGUAUCUGGCCCGGCCUUGGCAUCUUCUUGGAGAACGUUGCUGCACUUGACUGUGUGGCGCGGUAUCCAGGACUUUUACUUUGAGGAAAUUAGAGUGUUUCAAGCAGGCGCACGCCUUGAAUACAUUAGCAUGGAAUAAUGAGAUAGGACCUUGGUUCUAUUUUGUUGGUUUCUAGAGCUGAGGUAAUGAUUAAUAGGGAUAGUUGGGGGCAUUCGUAUUUAACUGUCAGAGGUGAAAUUCUUGGAUUUGUUAAAGAUGGACUACUGCGAAAGCAUUUGCCAAGGAUGUUUUCAUUGA